UAGGGAAUCUUCGCAAUGGACGAAAGUCUGACCGAGCAACGCCGCGUGAGUGAAGAAGGUUUUCGGAUCGUAAAACUCUGUUGUUAGAGAAGAACAAGGACGUUAGUAACUGAACGUCCCCUGACGGUAUCUAACCAGAAAGCCACGGCUAACUACGUGCCAGCAGCCGCGGUAAUACGUAGGUGGCAAGCGUUGUCCGGAUUUAUUGGGCGUAAAGCGAGCGCAGGCGGUUUCUUAAGUCUGAUGUGAAAGCCCCCGGCUCAACCGGGGAGGGUCAUUGGAAACUGGGAGACUUGAGUGCAGAAGAGGAGAGUGGAAUUCCAUGUGUAGCGGUGAAAUGCGUAGAUAUAUGGAGGAACACCAGUGGCGAAGGCGGCUCUCUGGUCUGUAACUGACGCUGAGGCUCGAAAGCGUGGGGAGCAAACAGG
rnacentral:rRNA from 1 species